GGCCCCGUAGCUCAAUUGGAUAGAGCACGGGAUUUCUAAUCCCGCGGUUGCAGGUUCGAGUCCUGCCGGGGCCACCA
rnacentral:tRNA from 1 species